GUCCUAGCCCUAAACCAUCAGGACUUGGGGUGGCUCGCGUAGGCGGGUCGUCCCGGAGCUAACGCGUUAAGUCCUGCGCCUGGGGAGUACGGUCGCAAGACUGAAACUCAAAGGAAUUGACGGGGGCCCGCACAAGCGGUGGAACAUGUGGUUCAAUUCGACGCAACGCGAAGAACCUUACCUGGGCUUGAACCGCUGGUGACCAACGGUAGAAAUAUCGUCUUCUCGCAAGAGACACCAGUAGAGGUGCUGCAUGGCUGUCGU
rnacentral:rRNA from 1 species